rnacentral:rRNA from 1 species
UACGUAGGGGGCUAGCGUUGUCCGGAAUCAUUGGGCGUAAAGCGCGCGUAGGCGGCCCGGUAAGUCCGCUGUGAAAGUCAAAGGCUCAACCUUUGAAUGUCAGCGGAUACUGCCGGGCUAGAGUCCGGAAGAGGCGAGUGGAAUUCCUGGUGUAGCGGUGGAAUGCGCAGAUAUCAGGAGGAACACCAACGGCGAAGGCAGCUCGCUGGGACGGUACUGACGCUGAGGCGCGAAAAGCGUGGGGGAGCGAACAGG